UUACAAUCCAGGCUUCAGAAUCCUUGUGUCUCCAAGCUUGGCCUACAAUAAAAAGAAAGGAAACCGUUCCAACGCCUAAAUUUGAGAAAGUAACGGAGAUUAUUCCCACCAUAACGAAGCAAUACAAGCAAGCAGGCUACACCUAAUCCAAUUCAAUAUGUUGCAGCACCAGCACCAGCACCAGCACCACCACCAGCCUCCGCCCCAGCGACCUCGACGACGGUGCGAGGGCACUGCCAUGGGCGCCAUAGUUCUCGAUCUCCGCCCUGGUCUUGGUAUCGGUCCCUUCUCUCUCGGGAUGCCUAUAUGCGAAGCGUUUGCCCAAAUCGAGCAGCAGCCUAACAUUUACGACGUCGUUCACGUGAAGUAUUAUGAUGAGGAGCCUCUUAAACUUGACAUUGUGAUUAGCUUUCCUGAUCAUGGUUUUCAUCUUCGGUUUGAUCCUUGGUCCCAGAGACUACGCUUGAUUGAAAUUUUUGAUGUUAAACGCCUGCAAAUGCGCUAUGCCACUUCCCUUAUUGGGGGACCGUCCACUCUAGCUACUUUUGUAGCCGUAUAUGCACUCUUUGGGCCAACCUUUCCUGGAAUUUAUGACAAAGAUAGAGGAGUGUACACUCUGUUCUACCCGGGCCUAUCCUUUGCAUUUCCAAUUCCUAGCCAAUAUACAGAUUGCUGCCACGAUGGAGAAGCGGAACUGCCACUGGAGUUUCCAGAUGGCACUACACCAGUAACAUGUCGUGUGUCUAUAUAUGAUAGCUCUACAGAUAAAAAAGUUGGUGUCGGAUCAUUAAUGGACAAGGCUUCUGCUCCUCCACUACCUUCGGGCAGCCUUUACAUGGAAGAGGUGCAUGUUAAGCUUGGUGAAGAGUUAUAUUUUUCCACAGGGGGGCAGCAUAUUCCUUUUGGUGCAUCACCACAGGAUGUUUGGACUGAAUUAGGUCGUCCUUGUGGAAUUCAUCAAAAGCAGGUAGACCAAAUGGUCAUUCACUCUGCUUCAGACCCUCGGCCACGCACAACCCUUUGUGGAGAUUACUUCUAUAACUAUUUCACUCGUGGUUUGGACAUCUUAUUUGAUGGACAGACUCAUAGGAUCAAGAAGUUUGUUUUGCACACAAACUACCCUGGUCAUGCAGAUUUUAAUUCAUAUAUAAAGUGCAACUUUGUUAUUCAAGUAAAUAAUUCAAAACAUAUUACGCCAAGCACGAAGUGGGACCAAGUUAAGGAAAUCCUUGGAGACUGUGGCCGAGCAGCUAUCCAAACACAGGGUUCUACAAGUAAUCCUUUUGGAUCCACAUUUGUUUAUGGUUACCAGAACAUUGCCUUUGAGGUGAUGAAAAAUGGUUAUAUUGCAACUGUAACUCUCUUCCAGUCUUGAUUAUUUUCCUUUCUGUUAAUUCAGUGGAAAGCAGCGCAAGUUGCCACAUCAUCUUCACGUGGGGAUUGGGGGAGCAGUGUUGGAAUUGUGAAUAUUACUGUAUAUUGUUCAUUUGUACAUAUGAUUAAGUACCUAUCUUAUGUAAUUCUUAAUAAAUUAUGCAAGCCUGUACUUCUCA
rnacentral:misc_RNA from 1 species